GACGAACGCUGGCGGCGUGCCUAAUACAUGCAAGUAGAACGCACAGUUUAUACCGUAGCUUGCUACACCAUAGACUGUGAGUUGCGAACGGGUGAGUAACGCGUAGGUAACCUGCCUGGUAGCGGGGGAUAACUAUUGGAAACGAUAGCUAAUACCGCAUAAUCUUGAUUAUUGCAUGAUAAUUGAUUGAAAGAUGCUAUUGCAUCACUACCAGAUGGACCUGCGUUGUAUUAGCUAGUAGGUGAGGUAACGGCUCACCUAGGCGACGAUACAUAGCCGACCUGAGAGGGUGAUCGGCCACACUGGGACUGAGACACGGCCCAGACUCCUACGGGAGGCAGCAGUAGGGAAUCUUCGGCAAUGGACGAAAGUCUGACCGAGCAAGGCCGCGUGAGUGAAGAAGGUUUUCGGAUCGUAAAGCUCUGUUGUAAGAGAAGAACGGGUGUGAGAGUGGAAAGUUCACACUGUGACGGUAUCUUACCAGAAAGGGACGGCUAACUACGUG
rnacentral:rRNA from 1 species